CUGCCCGUCUGCACACCCGCGCCCAUGUGCCUGGCCUGUGUCCUGGGGCGGUAUCCUGCCUGACCAGCUUUCUCAUAUGGGAGUGGUGGGCAGUGGGAGGAACCUGGGUGGCCGGGGCCCAAGCUGGGCUGUCUCUUCCCACAGAGUGGCGUCCGGGCUCCACAGCGCAGAUCCUGUCGGACCUGGACCUGACGUCACAGCGGGAGGGCCGGUGGAAGCGCGUCAACACCCUUAUGCACUACAAUGUGAGCGUGUAGGCCGGGGCGGGCGAGAACUGGGCACCCUGGAGGCACAGCCCACCCUCACCGCCGUGUUCCCCAGGUCCGGGAUGGAGCCACCCUCAUCCUGUCCAAGGUGGGGGUCUCCCAGCAGCCGGAGGACAGCCAGCAGGACCUGCCUGGGGAGCGCCAUGCCCUCCUGGAGGAGGAGAACCGGGUGUGGCACCUGGUGCGGCCGACCGACGAGGUGGACGAGGGCAAGUCCAAGAGAGGCAGCGUGAAAGAGAAGGAGCGGACGAAGGCCAUCACCGAGAUCUACCUGACGCGGCUGCUCUCAGUCAAGGGCACACUGCAGCAGUUUGUGGACAACUUCUUCCAGAGCGUGCUGGCGCCUGGGCACGCGGUGCCACCUGCAGUCAAGUACUUCUUCGACUUCCUGGACGAGCAGGCAGAGAAGCACAACAUCCAGGAUGAAGACACCAUCCACAUCUGGAAGACGAACAGCUUACCGCUCCGGUUCUGGGUGAACAUCCUCAAGAACCCCCACUUCAUCUUUGACGUGCAUGUCCACGAGGUGGUGGACGCCUCGCUGUCGGUCAUCGCGCAGACCUUCAUGGACGCCUGCACGCGCACGGAGCAUAAGCUGAGCCGCGAUUCUCCCAGCAACAAGCUGCUGUACGCCAAGGAGAUCUCCACCUACAAGAAGAUGGUGGAGGAUUACUACAAGGGGAUCCGGCAGAUGGUGCAGGUCAGCGACCAGGACAUGAACACACACCUGGCAGAGAUUUCCCGGGCACACACGGACUCCUUGAACACCCUCGUGGCACUACACCAGCUCUACCAAUACACGCAGAAGUACUAUGACGAGAUCAUCAAUGCCUUGGAGGAGGACCCUGCCGCCCAGAAGAUGCAGCUGGCCUUCCGCCUGCAGCAGAUUGCGGCUGCGCUGGAGAACAAGGUCACUGACCUCUGACCUACAAUCUCCAGUGCUGCCUUGGGACAUAGGUACCUGAGGUACCUGAGAGCCCCUCGGGGGAGGAGGCCGAGUGGCUGUGGCUGAGGCCCCCACCCUCCCCUGGAACGCGCCCCAAGCCGGAGUGGGUGCAGCCGGAACCCGCCCAGCGUCUAGACUGUAGCAUCUUCCUCUGAGCAAUACCGCCGGGCACUGCACCAGCACCAGCCCCAGCCCCAGCUCCCUCCGGCCGCAGAACCAGCAUCGGGUGUUCACUGUCGAGUCUCGAGUGAUUUGAAAAUGUGCCUUACGCUGCCACGCUGGGGGCAGCUGGCCUCCGCCUCCGCCCACGCACCAGCAGCCGCCUCCAUGCCCUAGGUUGGGCCCCUGGGGGAUCUGAGGGCCUGUGGCCCCCAGGGCAAGUUCCCAGAUCCUAUGUCUGUCUGUCCACCUCGAGAUGGGAGGAGGAGAAAAAGCGGUACGAUGCCUUCCUGACCUCACCGGCCUCCCCAAGGGUGCCGGCACUCUGGGUGGUCUCACGGCUGCUGGGCCCCACGUCAAAGGUCAAGUGAGACGUAGGUCAAGUCCUACGUCGGGGCCCAGACAUCCUGGGGUCCUGGUCUGUCAGACAGGCUGCCCUAGAGCCCCACCCAGUCCGGGGGGACUGGGAGCAGUUCCACCAAGACCACCCCACCCCUUUUUGUAAAUCUUGUUCAUUGUAAAUCAAAUACAGCCGUCUUUUUCACUCUG
rnacentral:sRNA from 1 species